rnacentral:rRNA from 1 species
GAUGAACGCUGGCGGCGUGCCUAAUACAUGCAAGUCGAGCGAAUGGAUUAAGAGCUUGCUCUUAUGAAGUUAGCGGCGGACGGGUGAGUAACACGUGGGUAACCUGCCCAUAAGACUGGGAUAACUACGGGAAACCGGGGCUAAUACCGGAUAACAUUUUGAACCGCAUGGUUCGAAAUUGAAAGGCGGCUUCGGCUGUCACUUAUGGAUGGACCCGCGUCGCAUUAGCUAGUUGGUGAGGUAACGGCCCACCAAGGCAACGAUGCGUAGCCGACCUGAGAGGGUGAUCGGCCACACUGGGACUGAGACACGGCCCAGACUCCUACGGGAGGCAGCAGUAGGGAAUCUUCCGCAAUGGACGAAAGUCUGACGGAGCAACGCCGCGUGAGUGAUGAAGGCUUUCGGGUCGUAAAACUCUGUUGUUAGGGAAGAACAAGUGCUAGUUGAAUAAGCUGACACCUUGACGGUACCUAACCAGAAAGCCACGGCUAACUACGUGCCAGCCGCCGCUGUAA